rnacentral:rRNA from 1 species
AGACCCGAAACCCGGUGAUCUAGCCAUGGGCAGGUUGAAGGUUGGGUAACACUAACUGGAGGACCGAACCGACUAAUGUUGAAAAAUUAGCGGAUGACCUGUGGCUGGGGGUGAAAGGCCAAUCAAACCGGGAGAUAGCUGGUUCUCCCCGAAAGCUAUUUAGGUAGCGCCUCGUGAAUUCAUCUCCGGGGGUAGAGCACUGUUUCGGCUAGGGGGCCAUCCCGGCUUACCAACCCGAUGCAAACUGCGAAUACCGGAGAAUGUUAUCACGGGAGACACACGGCGGGUGCUAACGUCCGUCGUGAAGAGGGAAACAACCCAGACCGCCAGCUAAGGUCCCAAAGUCAUGGUUAAGUGGGAAACGAUGUGGGAAGGCCCAGACAGCCAGGAUGUUGGCUUAGAAGCAGCCAUCAUUUAAAGAAAGCGUAAUAGCUCACUGGUCGAGUCGGCCUGCGCGGAAGAUGUAACGGGGCUAAACCAUGCACCGAAGCUGCGGCAGCGACACUAUGUGUUGUUGGGUAGGGGAGCGUUCUGUAAGCCUGUGAAGGUGUGUCGUGAGGCAUGCUGGAGGUAUCAGAAGUGCGAAUGCUGACAUAAGUAACGAUAAAGCGGGUGAAAAGCCCGCUCGCCGGAAGACCAAGGGUUCCUGUCCAACGUUAAUCGGGGCAGGGUGAGUCGACCCCUAAGGCGAGGCCGAAAGGCGUAGUCGAUGGGAAACGGGUUAAUAUUCCCGUACUUGGUGUUACUGCGAAGGGGGGACGGAGAAGGCUAUGUUGGCCGGGCGACGGUUGUCCCGGUUUAAGCGUGUAGGUGUGUGUUCCAGGUAAAUCCGGUUCACUUUAACACUGAGGCGUGAUGACGAGGCACUACGGUGCUGAAGCAACAAAUGCCCUGCUUCCAGGAAAAGCCUCUAAGCAUCAGGUAACAUCAAAUCGUACCCCAAACCGACACAGGUGGUCAGGUAGAGAAUACCAAGGCGCUUGAGAGAACUCGGGUGAAGGAACUAGGCAAAAUGGUGCCGUAACUUCGGGAGAAGGCACGCUGACACGUAGGUGAAGUGAUUUACUCAUGGAGCUGAAGUCAGUCGAAGAUACCAGCUGGCUGCAACUGUUUAUUAAAAACACAGCACUGUGCAAACACGAAAGUGGACGUAUACGGUGUGACGCCUGCCCGGUGCCGGAAGGUUAAUUGAUGGGGUCAGCGCAAGCGAAGCUCCUGAUCGAAGCCCCGGUAAACGGCGGCCGUAACUAUAACGGUCCUAAGGUAGCGAAAUUCCUUGUCGGGUAAGUUCCGACCUGCACGAAUGGCGUAAUGAUGGCCAGGCUGUCUCCACCCGAGACUCAGUGAAAUUGAACUCGCUGUGAAGAUGCAGUGUACCCGCGGCAAGACGGAAAGACCCCGUGAACCUUUACUAUAGCUUGACACUGAACAUUGAGCCUUGAUGUGUAGGAUAGGUGGGAGGCUUUGAAGCGUGGACGCCAGUCUGCGUGGAGCCGACCUUGAAAUACCACCCUUUAAUGUUUGAUGUUCUAACGUGGACCCGUGAUCCGGGUUGCGGACAGUGUCUGGUGGGUAGUUUGACUGGGGCGGUCUCCUCCUAAAGAGUAACGGAGGAGCACGAAGGUUGGCUAAUCCUGGUCGGACAUCAGGAGGUUAGUGCAAUGGCAUAAGCCAGCUUGACUGCGAGCGUGACGGCGCGAGCAGGUGCGAAAGCAGGUCAUAGUGAUCCGGUGGUUCUGAAUGGAAGGGCCAUCGCUCAACGGAUAAAAGGUACUCCGGGGAUAACAGGCUGAUACCGCCCAAGAGUUCAUAUCGACGGCGGUGUUUGGCACCUCGAUGUCGGCUCAUCACAUCCUGGGGCUGAAGUAGGUCCCAAGGGUAUGGCUGUUCGCCAUUUAAAGUGGUACGCGAGCUGGGUUUAGAACGUCGUGAGACAGUUCGGUCCCUAUCUGCCGUGGGCGCUGGAGAACUGAGGGGGGCUGCUCCUAGUACGAGAGGACCGGAGUGGACGCAUCACUGGUGUUCGGGUUGUCAUGCCAAUGGCACUGCCCGGUAGCUAAAUGCGGAAGAGAUAAGUGCUGAAAGCAUCUAAGCACGAAACUUGCCCCGAGAUGAGUUCUCCCUGAGACUUAGAGUCUCCUGAAGGAACGUUGAAGACGACGACGUUGAUAGGCCGGGUGUGUAAGCGCAGCGAUGCGUUGAGCUAACCGGUACUAAUGAACCGUGAGG